ensembl:ncRNA C18A11.12 ncRNA
CCCUCCCGCUUCUCUCUUCCUACCGUGCUGUGUACUAGAGGCGAGAGGAUAAAGGAGAGAAAGAAGGUCUCGGAGCAGGAGCGCGCCCCCGCGGGAGUCCAGAGCAAGUAGAUAUGACGGCUCAGAUUGAUGGACCAGAGAAAACAGAGAGACAGAGUCGAACCUAUCACUAUCAAUGAUUAUCAACAUGCCUUGGCUCUGUGUCUUUCUCGAAAGUUUCGGCAGGACCACUGUUGCUUCUGCUGCCUGAUCACCUAUCGAUCCGUAAAGUUUACUGCGUGGGAGGACAGCUAGCCAGCCGACCACUGAUAGUGAAAGAACACAAAUAUCUCACAGAAAAAGGUCC